CUAGGCACUAAAUACCUGCUGCAUCCCCAGUACACCAACAGAUGUUUAACCUUGGCUGUUCGCUGUGAGGACCCUGGUAUCCAGUGCCUCUCCAGUCUACCUUCUUUAACAACCUUCCCAGGUCAAAACCUAGGACAAGUUAAUGUUCCUUCAAAAGAACAAAUUGUUAUCAGAGAAAAUAGAAAGACAGGAAGCAGAUCUCCCUCCACUAGCAGCCCCAGGCCAACCCACAAAGACACUGAGGAAACUGGUCUUCGAGCUCCAGGGGCCGAACCUAUCCGGGAAGAAGGGGACAGUGCUCCAGCUCAGGCAGCUCCUGAAGUGUCAACUCGCUGGACUCGGGGAUGGGCUCUUCGUCAUCCUCCUCGUUGUGACCGGUGUCCACAUCCCCUCCAACCACAUUUGCAUAGUAAACCAUUUUCAAGCACUUGGAAGCAGCAACUAUAGCAUCGUCAUCAUUCACGAGGUUCCGACUGUUGAAUUCAUUGCUUAUGACUUUGUAAGUGAUAAGCUGCUGAAACGUCUCCAUCAUCCGCCGAAUCUGGUCCGAACUGUACUUGGACCACAGUCGGAUCAGCUUCCCUUGAGCAGCCAGCGGGAGCUUGCUCAUGGCUUUGCAAAAUAACGGCAGCGCCAUUUCUAGAUAUUCAGGACUGUGGAGAUUUCUGUUCUCCAUGACAAUAAUGAACAAAUUCAGCAAUCGGACAUAGACCCGUCGGAUGGCGUCGAUGUCCACAGACACGUCGUCAGGGCUGAGUUUCUGGACGCUGUUCUCCUCCUGCAGGCUCUCACUCACUCUCGAGGAAGAGGCUUCUGAAUCUUCCUCCAUAGCUGCAGCAGCUGAACAUGCAGCCUUUUCCUUUUCGUCUUCAUCUUUGUCUUCGUCCUUGCCUUGAAGAGACUUCAGUUCUUCCUUGGUGUGUUGUUUGACUUUCCGAAAGCUUUGUACCAAUGCUUCAGCACUUGAGAAGACUCUUCCAAUAACGCGGAUUAAAGGGGAGUAAUCCUCUCU